rnacentral:rRNA from 1 species
UGGUGGAGUGAUUUGUCUGGUUAAUUCCGUUAACGAACGAGACCUCCGCCUGCUAAAUAGUAACAAUCUUGCUUGCAAGGUUGGUUAUCUUCUUAGAGGGACACUGGAUUUUUAAUCCAGGGGAAGUUGGAGGCAAUAACA